rnacentral:misc_RNA from 1 species
GAUGAAGAACGUAGCGAAAUGCGAUACUUGGUGUGAAUUGCAGAAUCCCGUGAACCAUCAAGUCUUUGAACGCAAGUUGCGCCCGAAGCCAUCAGGUUGAGGGCACGUCUGCCUGGGCGUCACAUAUCGUUGCCCAAUGCCUAUUGCAGUGCAAUAGGAAUUUCUAGGGCGAAUGAUGGCUUCCCGUGAGCGUUGUUGCCUCGCGGUUGGUUGAAAAUCGAGUCCUUGGUAGGGUGUGCCAUGGUAGAUGGUGGUCGAGUUAGAACGAUACCGAUCAUGUGCAUGCUCCCCAAAAUAUGGCCUCUAUGACCCACACGCGUCUUUUGACGCUCAUGACGAGACCUCAGGUCAGGCGGGGCUACCCGCUGAAUUUAAGCAUAUCAAUAAGCGGAGGA